UUAUAUAUUGGCUUGGCAGAUAAAUGCCGUUGAUUUAGGAUCAGCUCAUAACCAUCAGGUUAGU
rnacentral:tRNA from 1 species